CAUGCCAGUAAUUCUUAGUUACCCCUGGCUACUUAAACAUAAUCCCCACAUUGACUGGGCUACUGGAGUGAUUUUAGGCUGGAGUGAGAACUGUCAUGCUGUCUGCCGUAGAAACGCCCCGUCUCCUGUCCUUAGCUCUCCUUCUCCUUCUGAAUUUCAAGACCUGUCCAAAAUGCUGCUGAAUAUCAGGAUAUAAAGGAGGUAUUCAGCCGGCCCCGUGGCACUUCUCUGCCACCUCACAGACCCUAUGACUGUGCCAUAGGCCUCCUCCCUGGCACCUCUCCCCCCAAGGGGUUGGCUAUUGUGUCUGUCAGCUCCAGAGAUGCAGGCCAUGGAGAAAUACAUCAGUGAGUCUCUGGCAUCUGGCAUAUUUCAUCCUUCUUCAUCCCCUGCAGGAGCAGGGUUCUUUUUUGUGGACAAAAGGAGAAGACCCUGCGUCCCUGCAUUGAUUAUCUAGGACUCAACGACAUCAUGGUGAAAAAAAAGAUACCCCCUCCCACUCGUCUCUUCCGCUUUUAAACUGCUCCAAGGUGCCACUAUUUUCACUAAACUGGACCUUAGAAAUGCUUAUCAUUUGGUCCGCAUUCGGGAGGGGAACGAAUAGAAGACUGCGUUAAACACCCACCUGUGGCCAUUAUGAAUACUUGGUCAUGCCUUUCCGGCUGACUAACGCCCCCUCAGUCUUCCGAGCACUGGUGAAUGAUGUACUCUGGGACAUGCUUACUAAAUUUGUCUUUGUUUACCUUGAUGAUAUCUUAGUCUUUUCCAGAUCUUUGCAGGAGCACGGGGGUCACGUGAGGAGGGUCCUACAGAGACUCCUGGAGAACCAUCUCCUCGUUAAGGUGGAGAAGUGUGAAUUUCAUUUCCCAGAAGUUUCAUAUUUGGGGUUUGUGCUCAGAGGAGGAAGCAUCCAGAUGGACCCGGCCAUGGUCCAAGCAGUCACAGAAUGGCCUCAGCCCACGUCCCGCAAACCUCUUCAGCGAUUCCUAGGAUUUGCUAACUUCUAAAGACGCUUUAUCCGGGAUUACAGUUCCGUGGCAGCCCCUCUCACAGCCCUAACCUCAUCUAAGAUAUCCUACACCUGGUCUGCUUCUGCUGAGGCAGCGAUUCAGGAGCUCAAUGUCUGCCAUCAUUCUCUCUCUCCCUGAUCCCUCCAGGCAGUUUGUGAUAGAGGUGGAUGCCUCAGACACCAGAGUUGGGGCGGUCCUCUCCCAACGCUCAGUAGAGGAUCAGAAGGUCCACCCUUGUGCAUUUUUUCUCCCGGAGACAGUCAUCUGAAUUAUGACAUAGGCAACUGGCGGUCAAGUUGGCAAAAACCUUGAAUAUAUACGCAGCGCCAAAAGGUUGAAUUCCCGCCAGGCACGGUGGGCUUUGUUCCUUAACCGCUUUGAUUUCACUCUCUCCUACCGCCCAGGUUCUAAGAAUGCCAAACCUGACUCCCUCUCUCUGCAGUUUGAGAAGGAGGAGAACACUUCAGGGACGGAGGAGAUCCUUCCCCCUUCCUGUGUAGUUGGAAGUUCUGGUCUGGAACAUUGAGGGUCUUACAGUGGGGGCACUCCUCCCGCCAGGCCUGUCACCCUGUGGUGCAGCGCACCUUGGCCCUCUGUCAGUGAUUCUGGUGGUCUUCCAUGGAGGAGGACACACGGGUGUUUGUGGCAGCUUGUCCCCUUUGCUCCCAACACAAGCCCUCUCACCAAAGCCCUGCAGGUCUACUCCAACCCCUGCCGAUACCUCAUCGACCCUGGUCCCAUAUAUCCCUGGACUUUGUCAUCGGUCUGCCCCUCUCAGAAGAGACAUUGUCCCUGACCGGGGGCCCCAAUUCACCUCUUGUUCCUGGAAGGAAUUUUGCAGACUGUUGGGGGCUUCGGCCAGCCUAUCUUCGGGUUCCAUCCGCAGUCCAACGGCCAGACGGAAUGGAAAACCAUGAGAUGGAAACAGCCCUGCGUUGCGUCGCCUCUCAUUCUUCGUCCUCCUGGGCUAAGCAGUUGUUGCGUGUAGAAUACGCCCACAAUACUCUUCUUACCUCUGCGACUGGCCUCUCCUCCUUCAUGUGCUCCCAAGGUUAUCA